CUCACUCACUGGAGUCAACUCCCCCGGUUCAAGUGGAUUUCAAGUUGGGAGACAGGCCCAUGUCAUGUCAGAGCGUGUAGAAGAACAGAAGGAAACCAAGGCCACUGAGGGAAGGACAGAAGAUGUACAUGAUGCAGUGGCUAAGGACCAUGACCUCCCCUUCCCCAAGCACCAAGUGUAGCCUUGGCCCUGACUCUCCUGGAACCCCAAGCCACCUGGAUGACAGACAGGAACCUGAGAACUGGGGACAGGUGAAGACAUCAGACACCUGGCGUCUCAAAAUCACGGUCAUCCACCCUCCCACACAGAAAUCACCAACAGCUCUGGUGACAGCUUGGGCCCCUUCACCAGUAUCUCCCAUUCCACCUCUCAGAUGGAGUGUCGAUACUGAAUACAGGACUGGCAUGAAUGGGAUCCCCAGCAUCCUGUCUGCGUGUGACUGAAGUUGGUGCCUUUUCACUGCUGCAUGGAUGGCCAGUCUGUUCGACCACCAACUAGUGGAAGGGGCACUUUGGGUCUUUCCAGUUCCCAUGAGGGGCCAUCACAAAUAAAGCUGCUAUGA